GACGAACGCUGGCGGCGUGCUUAACACAUGCAAGUCGAACGGAGGAUUUAUUUCGGUAAAUCCUUAGUGGCGAACGGGUGAGUAACGCGUGGGCAACCUGCCCUUCAGAUGGGGACAACAUCCCGAAAGGGGUGCUAAUACCGAAUACGAUCGUUUUCCCGCAUGGGGAUGCGAUGAAAGAUGGCCUCUAUUUAUAAGCUAUCGCUGAAGGAUGGGCCUGCGUCUGAUUAGCUAGUUGGUGGGGUAACGGCCUACCAAGGCGAUGAUCAGUAGCCGGUCUGAGAGGAUGAACGGCCACAUUGGGACUGAGACACGGCCCAAACUCCUACGGGAGGCAGCAGUGGGGAAUAUUCCGCAAUGGACGAAAGUCUGACGGAGCAACGCCGCGUGAGUGAUGAAGGUUUUCGGACUGUAAAGCUCUGUUGUUCAGGACGAAAGUGCCUGUUGCAAAUAGUUACAGGUAUUGACGGUACUGAACGAGGAAGCCACGGCUAACUACGUGCCAGCAGCCGCGGUAAUACGUAGGUGGCAAGCGUUGUC
rnacentral:rRNA from 1 species